rnacentral:rRNA from 1 species
UUCUGGUAGGAUUGACAGAUUGAGAGCUCUUUCUUCAUUCGGUAAAUGGUGGUGCAUGGUCGUUCUUAGUUGGUGUAGCGAUUUGUCUGGUUAAUUCCGAUAACAAACGAGACAAUGGGCUAUUAAAUAGGUGCGUGGUUCUCUGCACUUUGCAUCCUUCUUAGAGGGACAAGCGGCUCCUAGCCGCACGAAACAGAGCUGUAACAGGUCUGUGAUGUCCUUAGA